AUUUCCCAGGACAUCGCGUGAGACCUCGUUCAUCUCCUGCACCACCAGCUUCACCACAUCUUCUGCCGACAUCUUGUUGGUGAGGUGCAGCUGUGCAGAAAUAGAGGCUUGGAUUGAAAGCCCUACCUGGAGAUGUUUGGGUUGCUUCGUAUCUUCACAUGACAUAAUAUGUUGGGUAAACGUUCAGGCACCAACACUCGGAUCUGGUCAACAGCACUACAGAGCUUCAGCUUCCAGGAUCCAACCAAGACCAAAAGCCUCAGGAGACAGACUGGCACGGGGCAGGAGGCACCAGAAAUUUUACAAAGGAGACUGUUGUUGUCAGAUAUUCAGACUAGUGUUGCAAUCUCCAGGAACUGAGACUGCGUUGAACUGGCCCUUUAGUGGUUUGGCCUUUGCUAAUCCUGGCAAUGGCUUUGAAUAAGCACUUUCAAUAGACCCUUGUACAGGUGCUUGAGUGCCUUUUGUUGCUGGAGACACUUGGCUGACUGAGAGGAAAUGAAAAGAGAGAGGAACAACUAGACGAGGGGUCAAGAGGAGGAAAGGCUGGGCACUCACAGAAGGGAUUCUUUGCUAAUACCUGCUAACAAGCUGGGAAAACAACUGCAACUGGAUGCAAGAAGGGUAAAUGUAUCGAAAAUAGUUAUCUGAAUCCCUAGUGGGAAAACUUACACCUGGGAAACCAACUUUUCCUUUGCCUCUGCAAAGUGUCACAUACCUUGAAUAAAAACUAAGCAAAAAAGAAGCUGAACUUCUGCUCUCCUAAACAGGGCUUAAUGCAAGCCAAA